rnacentral:rRNA from 1 species
CCUACGGGUGACAGCAGUGAGGAAUAUUGGUCAAUGGACGAGAGUCUGAACCAGCCAAGUAGCGUGAAGGAUGACUGCCCUAUGGGUUGUAAACUUCUUUUAUAUGGGAAUAAAAUGUUCCACGUGUGGGAUUUUGUAUGUACCAUAUGAAUAAGGAUCGGCUAACUCCGUGCCAGCAGCCGCGGUAAUACGGAGGAUCCGAGCGUUAUCCGGAUUUAUUGGGUUUAAAGGGAGCGUAGGUGGAUUGUUAAGUCAGUUGUGAAAGUUUGCGGCGCAACCGUAAAAUUGCAGUUGAAACUGGCAGUCUUGAGUACAGUAGAGGUGGGCGGAAUUCGUGGUGUAGCGGUGAAAUGCUUAGAUAUCACGAAGAACUCCGAUUGCGAAGGCAGUUCACUGGACUGCAACUGACACUGAGGCUCGAAAGUGUGGGUAUCAAACAGGAUUAGAUACCCCUGUAGUC